rnacentral:rRNA from 1 species
AACGGUAACAGGAAACAGCUUGCUGUUUCGCUGACGAGUGGCGGACGGGUGAGUAAUGUCUGGGAAACUGCCUGAUGGAGGGGGAUAACUACUGGAAACGGUAGCUAAUACCGCAUAAUGUCGCAAGACCAAAGAGGGGGACCUUCGGGCCUCUUGCCAUCGGAUGUGCCCAGAUGGGAUUAGCUAGUAGGUGGGGUAACGGCUCACCUAGGCGACGAUCCCUAGCUGGUCUGAGAGGAUGACCAGCCACACUGGAACUGAGACACGGUCCAGACUCCUACGGGAGGCAGCAGUGGGGAAUAUUGCACAAUGGGCGCAAGCCUGAUGCAGCCAUGCCGCGUGUAUGAAGAAGGCCUUCGGGUUGUAAAGUACUUUCAGCGGGGAGGAAGGGAGUAAAGUUAAUACCUUUGCUCAUUGACGUUACCCGCAGAAGAAGCACCGGCUAACUCCGUGCCAGCAUCCGCGGUAAUACGGAGGGUGCAAGCGUUAAUCGGAAUUACUGGGCGUAAAGCGCACGCAGGCGGUUUGUUAAGUCAGAUGUGAAAUCCCCGGGCUCAACCUGGGAACUGCAUCUGAUACUGGCAAGCUUGAGUCUCGUAGAGGGGGGUAGAAUUCCAUGUGUAGCGGUGAAAUGCGUAGAGAUCUG